CCUACGGGCGGCUGCAGUGGGGAAUAUUGGACAAUGGGGGCAACCCUGAUCCAGCCAUGCCGCGUGUGUGAAGAAGGCCCUCGGGUUGUAAAGCACUUUCAGUGAGGAAGAACGCCUGGUGGUUAAUACCCAUCAGGAAAGACAUCACUCACAGAAGAAGUACCGGCUAACUCCGUGCCAGCAGCCGCGGUAAUACGGAGGGUGCGAGCGUUAAUCGGAAUUACUGGGCGUAAAGCGCGCGUAGGUGGCUUGAUAAGCCGGUUGUGAAAGCCCCGGGCUCAACCUGGGAACGGCAUCCGGAACUGUCAAGCUAGAGUGCAGGAGAGGAAGGUAGAAUUCCCGGUGUAGCGGUGAAAUGCGUAGAGAUCGGGAGGAAUACCAGUGGCGAAGGCGGCCUUCUGGACUGACACUGACACUGAGGUGCGAAAGCGUGGGUAGCAAACAGGAUUAGAUACCCUAGUAGUC
rnacentral:rRNA from 1 species